AACUUCGAGUAAUAGAAAAGAAUCUUAAUAAAAUAAAUACUGAAAUAAAAGUAUUGGACAAGAUAAAGCAAUUGAAUUUCAAAACAAAGGGUGAUUUAGAUUUGUUAGUAGAGGAACAUUCAAAACUUCAAGUAAUAAAGAAGAAAUUUUAUAACACAAUUGCUGAAAUAAAUUACAUCGUAACUGACGACAACUCUUCAGCGAAUUUCAAAUAUAGACUUACAUCCAUACAGCCCAUACAGGACGAAUAUUCAACGCCGAAGGAUGAUCGCACUCCGUAUAAAAGGAAACGCUCCAUUUUAAAUUUAAGAUUCUAGACCGUCUUCCUCCAAUAUCGUAAUUAUUGGAAAUCUUUCGGAGAACAUGAAUGAGUUUCUUUGCCAUGUUUCAAAAAGACCAAAUAAUUAUAUUAAUUAUGGACUGCAGCGGAAUAGCCCGCGCCGAUUAAGGAGGUUCCAGCGUUACUCUCUAGAUAAUAAACAGUUUAUUCUUAAAAUUGUGUAUAACGAUUAAAAUAAUAAUAU